UUGCCCAAGGCGGGCAGCGGGACCUCGGUGGGAUCGGUGUACCCACCCCGAGAAGGGCAGACGAAACCCUGGCCACUUGUAUUGUGCUCUCGAGAAGACGUUAGUUCCAGACGUAUCCUGAAGACCCUUGCUGGUAACUGUCAAAUGGACUUCAGACUUCUCUUCAUUGUGACCACAAGUAGAAGGGACCAAGAUGUGACUGGCUGUUUGACUGCAACUCACUUCUGCUCCUGGCUUGCUUCAAUGGCAGCUGCCAAAUGCAGCCGUGACCAUGACGUGGUUUUGGCAGGCUUAGAAGCCUAAGGUAUCUCGAUCCGGAAGGUCCGUCUUCUUCUUCUGCACUUUUACUACCAAAGUUUUAGGCUUGUCAUUGGUGAUCGAAGCAUCAACUUCCGUGGAGAUCUGCCCGUCGGCCACCUUCGUUCCGUUUGUUGCCAUGUCUCGGGGCUUGGCGGGGGAGGCUCUGGUGGCCGCCGGACGAGGGAUUUCAGCUCCGGUCCACGUGGACAGCAGCUUUGCGGCUCGCCGGGGCCCGGCCGCGUGUCAGCCCUGGGCGGCGGGCGCUGUGUUGCUCCGGGGUGCUCUGCAAGGCACAAGAGGGGCAUUCAGCAGGGCCCGGCUGCCGGGGGUCCUACCAACAGCUGCGCUCUGCCCUCGGCUCAGUCUGCUUCCCACUGAGUCAGCGGGAAGAGACCAGAGCUAACGCUGUCCUCCAAACAAACGCCAAGCCAUGGUUACUUAUUUUUCAUUUCCCUACAGUCUGCAGGAACUACAGACCCUGAGUCUACAGAUAACUUAUCCGAAUAUACCCACUGCAUUGCACACGGCAGAUAUUUACUGCACGCUAUGCUCAAAACACACAGUUGAGAAGCAGACAUAACAAAAGCUGGAAAAGAGGCUGUUUGUGCACUCAUAAAUGAAGACUACUACGCUUAACCCUGAUUCUUUGAGGACAGGAAUAGAGUAAUUUAAUUGAUUUUUACAAACGUUCUUCAACUCCGUGGGGUCAAGCACAUAUCCCUGCUUCUGGAGAAGAUGAGUCAGUGAUGAGUUUUCUCUUUAACAGCCCAGAAUUUUUACACUGAAACUAUUCCAUUUAAUCACUCUGCAUUAAAAAGCUAGAGGAUAAUUCCCAUGAGCGUAAAGUUUCUUUAUGCAUAGAAAGGUGCUACUAUGGUUAUGGUUGACAUUAAAUAUCUACCAAUAACAGUGACGUGAAAGUUAUAAACUGUGCACGUUUCUCUGAACACUUUAAUCUGAGACCCUCCCAAAUGGAUUUAAAAUAAAUCAGAUUAAGCAACAGAACUUAAUAUUGGAUAAUGAUGUUGGGUUUCCUAUGUAGUUAUAAUUAGUCGUUAACAUAAUACAAUGUUCUACUAAGUUUAAUUUGUACAUGCUUCAGUACAAGUCUGCAAUAAGCAUGCUUCAAUUAGCUUAGUAAUUCUUUCAUCUGUCAUUAGUGCUACUAUACAAUUUUCAAAGUUUAAAUAAAGGAAAAUAAAGGAAGCAAAUGUUUC